rnacentral:rRNA from 1 species
UGGGGAAUUUUGGACAAUGGGCGAAAGCCUGAUCCAGCAAUGCCGCGUGUGUGAAGAAGGCCUUCGGUUGUAAAGCACUUUUGUCCGGAAAGAAAUCCUUGGCUCUAAUACAGUCGGGGGAUGACGUACCGGAAGAAUAAGCACCGGCUAACUACGUGCCAGCAGCCGCGGUAAUACGUAGGGUGCAAGCGUUAAUCGGAAUUACUGGGCGUAAAGCGUGCGCAGGCGGUUUGCUAAGACCGAUGUGAAAUCCCCGGGCUCAACCUGGGAACUGCAUUGGUGACUGGCAGGCUAGAGUAUGGCAGAGGGGGGUAGAAUUCCACGUGUAGCAGUGAAAUGCGUAGAGAUGUGGAGGAAUACCGAUGGCGAAGGCAGCCCCCUGGGCCAAUACUGACGCUCAUGCACGAAAGCGUGGGGAGCAAAA